UACGUAGGGGGCAAGCGUUAUCCGGAUUCACUGGGUGUAAAGGGAGCGUAGACGGCGACGCAAGUCUGGAGUGAAAGCCCGGGGCCCAACCCCGGGACUGCUCUGGAAACUGCGGCGCUGGAGUACGGGAGGGGCAGGCAGAAUUCCUGGUGUAGCGGUGAAAUGCGUAGAUAUCAGGAGGAACACCGGCGGCGAAGGCGGCCUGCUGGACCGUGACUGACGUUGAGGCUCGAGAGCGUGGGGAGCAAACAGG
rnacentral:rRNA from 1 species